AUUGAACGCUGGCGGCAUGCUUAACGCAUGCAAGUCGAACGGCAGCACAGUGUGUAGCAAUACACAUGGGUGGCGAGUGGCGGACGGGUGCGUAACGCGUAGGAAUCUGCCCUGAAGCGGGGGACAACCCGAGGAAACUCGGGCUAAUACCGCAUAAUCUCGAGAGAGAAAAGCUGGGGAAACCUGGCACUUCAGGAGGAGCCUGCGUCCGAUUAGCUAGUUGGUAGGGUAAAAGCCUACCAAGGCGAUGAUCGGUAGCUGGUCUGAGAGGAUGAUCAGCCACACUGGGACUGAGACACGGCCCAGACCCCUACGGGAGGCAGCAGUGGGGAAUAUUGGACAAUGGGGGCAACCCUGAUCCAGCAAUGCCGCGUGUGUGAAGAAGGCCUUCGGGUUGUAAAGCACUUUAGUUGGGGAAGAAGAUGUGUAGUUUAAGAGAUGACACAUUUGACGGUACCCAAAGAAUAAGCACCGGCUAACUCUGUGCCAGCAGCCGCCGUAA
rnacentral:rRNA from 1 species